rnacentral:lncRNA from 1 species
UUGGGAUUCACGAUAGAGGGACUGAAUUACAUGUUAACUAUACCUAGAGGUUUAUUUCAGUUUUAUUGGGUUGCCACUAUAUACUGCUAGGUGUCACUGAUGGAUUAUGAGAGCUCACUAGAGUUGUUUUGGAUCAACAAUCCUUGAUUGAGUUAGAGUAAAAUUAUUUCGACUCAUUGAAAAGAGUUUCAAUGAUACAAUGAUAUAAAUCAUUAUAUAUCUCACUACUAGAUAGAAUUGAACCUAUGAGGUCACACAACAAAGGGAUCAUGUCUGAAAUAUUAGUAAUUGAGUUUAUGAAGUGUCAAUUGGGUUUAG